CUAGGUUAGCGGCGGACGGGUGAGUAACACGUAGGCAACCUGCCUGUAAGACUGGGAUAACUACCGGAAACGGUAGCUAAUACCGGAUAAUUAAUUUUCCCGCAGGGGAGAAUCAUGAAAGAUGGAGCAAUCUAUCACUUACAGAUGGGCCUGCGGCGCAUUAGCUAGUUGGUGGGGUAAUGGCUCACCAAGGCGACGAUGCGUAGCCGACCUGAGAGGGUGAACGGCCACACUGGGACUGAGACACGGCCCAGACUCCUACGGGAGGCAGCAGUAGGGAAUCUUCCGCAAUGGACGAAAGUCUGACGGAGCAACGCCGCGUGAGUGAUGAAGGUUUUCGGAUCGUAAAGCUCUGUUGCCAGGGAAGAACGUCCGGUAGAGUAACUGCUACCGGAGUGACGGUACCUGAGAAGAAAGCCCCGGCUAACUACGUGCCAGCAGCCGCGGUAAUACGUAGGGGGCAAGCGUUGUCCGGAAUUAUGGGGCGUAAAGCGCGCGCAGGCGGCUGUUUAAGUCUGGUGUUUAAUCUGGGGGCUCACCCCCGAGUCGCACUGGAAACUGGACAGCUGGAGUACAGAAG
rnacentral:rRNA from 1 species